rnacentral:rRNA from 2 species
AAAUUGAAGAGUUUGAUCAUGGCUCAGAUUGAACGCUGGCGGCAGGCCUAACACAUGCAAGUCGAGCGGCAGCGGGAAAGUA